rnacentral:tRNA from 1 species
AUUUAUAAAGUUUAUAAAACAUUUCAUUUUCAUUGAAAAGAUAGACUUAGUCUUAUAAAUA